rnacentral:tRNA from 1 species
GCGUGUUUGUCCGAGUGGUUAAGGAGCGAGACUUAAGAUCUCGUGGCGCAAGCCGCGCAGGUUCGAACCCUGCAGCACGCA